rnacentral:rRNA from 1 species
GAAGGGCCAUCGCUCAACGGAUAAAAGGUACUCCGGGGAUAACAGGCUGAUACCGCCCAAGAGUUCAUAUCGACGGCGGUGUUUGGCACCUCGAUGUCGGCUCAUCACAUCCUGGGGCUGAAGUAGGUCCCAAGGGUAUGGCUGUUCGCCAUUUAAAGUGGUACGCGAGCUGGGUUUAGAACGUCGUGAGACAGUUCGGUCCCUAUCUGCCGUGGGCGCUGGAGAACUGAGGGGGGCUGCUCCUAGUACGAGAGGACCGGAGUGGACGCAUCACUGGUGUUCGGGUUGUCAUGCCAAUGGCACUGCCCGGUAGCUAAAUGCGGAAGAGAUAAGUGCUGAAAGCAUCUAAGCACGAAACUUGCCCCGAGAUGA